rnacentral:rRNA from 1 species
AUGAGUCUCCUCUGCUGGAGCUUUCGUGGGGCUGGCAAACCCGCGACAGUUCGUGAGCUUCAUGAUCUCACGAGGCAAUUUGCCCCCUCUAUCUUAUGUAUUGUCGAAACUCAAAUAGAGGGCUCUCGAGUAGAGAAUCUAGCAUGCACUUUAGGUUUCACUAAUAGUUUUGCAGUUAGUAGUUCUGGGAGAAGUGGUGGACUUGGUAUUUUUUGGAACAAUGAAAUAAAGCUUGUGGCUGAUGGUUACUCUAAAUAUCAUAUUAAUGUAGUGGUUGAUGAUUUGGCACAUAUCAAAACUGAAGGGGAACGUAGUAAUUUCAAAAAAAUUCCCACGCACACGCAAGAUCAUGUUGAUGCAUAG